UUCUUCAAAAUUUUAUAGGUCGUUGACGAAUUUGUGAAAAAUUAUGGAAAUACAUAUUUUAAUAGACGAUUCAACGCUCUACAAAACAAGUCUCUUAUGAUUUUUCGCUAAAUCUAUUGGUUCGAAAUUUAAAUUCGAGGUCAAAGUUCAAUUUAUAUGUAUAAAAUUAUCGUUAGAAUAACUUUCGAAACAGUCGAUUUAGCGAAAAAUCACAAGAGAAUUUAUUUGCAGAGCGUUAAAUUGUCUCCUAAAAUAUGAGCUUCCAUAAUUUUCUACACAUUCGUCAAGGACCUAUAAAAUUUCAAAGAACGAAACACGUUUUUCCCAUGUCAUUUUCACAAGAAACUUCGUUGUCAAUGCGGACUAUCUCAGAGUUGAUAUCAAAAGCUCAGAUUUUCAGUAAAUUCCCUCAAAUCUAUUCCUAAGCGUUCAAGCCCCUGGGAGGAUCUAAAUUCGAAAACAACCCCAUCAAGGACCUGCACCCUACCGCUCACCUUGGUGAACAUCCCGAAGGAUACGCUCGCGAAGUGACAGGCGGUCAGAACGAACGGACGUUUUCCGAUUACCAUCGCCAUGUUCCUCUUCAUUUUCACGUCCACAGACUCCAGGAUCCAAUCGCUUUCGUACGCCGCGUGGGACACCUGCUCGCUCUGCGUCGCAUGGGUAUAAUAAGUAUAGCAGCGAUUAAAUGGCGAUGACUCGGUCGAUAUCACAGAUGGAUCGAUUCGGCAGAUGUUUUCUUUCGGGACCACCACCAGGGCAGAAAAAUUGAAAACAGUUUAGCAAAGUUCAAAGAAUAGUUUGAAAAAAAGUGGACCCUUUGACGUGCUGAAAUGAAAGAAAGGAAAAAGAAAAGGAGCAAUGAAAACGACCUUUUGAAAGUAACGUUUCGAGAUCACUUUUAUUCCACAUUUUAAUGUAAAACUAAACGAUCGUCGUAUAUAUAUAUAUAUAUAUAUCAUUUAUAAAGGUAUUAUCUAAAAGUCUUAAAGAUUAAAAA